GGCGCGGGCAGCGGAGCAGUAAAGAUGGCCGCGCGCGGGUCUCCGCCCUCCGCUCCCGGCUGAGACGCUUGGCGGCGGCUGUGGCGGCGGCCCGCAGCAGCGGCGGCGAUGGCGGAGAUGGAGCACCUGGGCGGGAAGCGGGCCGAGUCGGCGCGGGCACGGCGGGCCGAGCAGCUGCGGCGCUGGCGGGGCUCGCUGACGGAGCAGGAGCCCGCCGACCGGCCGGGCGCGGAGCUGCCGCCGCAGGCUCAGCGCGGGGGCCCGCGGGUCCGCUUCGAGGACGGCGCCGUGUUCCUGGCCGCCUGCUCUAGCGGGGACACCGACGAGGUGAGGCGGCUCCUGGCCCGGGGCGCCGACGUGGACACGGCCAACGUGGACGGCCUGACCGCCCUGCACCAGGCUUGUAUUGAUGAAAAUGUGGACAUGGUGAAGUUUCUGGUGGAGAACGGAGCCAGUGUGAACCAGCAGGACAGCGAGGGCUGGACGCCCCUCCACGCAGCAGCGUCCUGUGGCCACCUCAACAUCGCGGAGUAUUUCAUUAACCAUGGAGCCAGCGUGGGUGUUGUGAACAGUGAAGGGGAAGUCCCCUCUGACCUCGCAGAAGAGCCUGCCAUGAAGGAUCUUCUUCUGCAGCAAGUGAAGAAGCAAGGGGUCGAUCUCGAGCAGUCGAGGAAGGCAGAGGAACAGCAGAUGCUGCAGGACGCCCGCCAGUGGCUCAACAGCGGGAAAAUACAGGAUGUGAGGCAGGCGCGCUCAGGGGCCACUGCCCUCCACGUGGCUGCCGCCAAGGGCUACUAUGAGGUCCUCAGACUUUUGACUCAGGCUGGCUAUGAGCUCAAUGUCCAGGACCGCGACGGCUGGACCCCGCUCCAUGCCGCCGCACACUGGGGGGUGAAGGAGGCGUGCUCCAUCCUGGCAGAAGCCCUCUGUGACAUGGACGUCAGGAGCAAACUGGGCCAGACACCGUUUGAUGUGGCUGACGAGGGCCUCGUGGAGCACCUGGAGAUGCUGCAGAAGAAGCAGAGCGUGCUUCGAAGUGAAAAAGAGACACGGAAUAAGCUCAUUGAGUCGGACCUGAACAGCAAGUUGCACGGUAGACUCUUUAAGAACAAAGAGAAGAUGCUCUAUGAGGAGGAGACACCAAAGCCCCAAGAAAUGGAGGAUGAAAACAAAGAAUCCAGCAGCUCCAGCUCAGACGAGGACGAAGGUGAAGAUGAGGCUUCUGAGUCAGAAACCGAGAAGGAGGCGGGUGAUGCCGAGACCCUCUGUCUGCAGAGCACGGGGGGUCACUGCUUGUCACAAGAUAAAAAGCCGGGAGCCAUCGUCAACCGUUCCAAAUCCGAAAGCAAGAGUAGUGCCGCCGAGCAGACACCAGCACCAGCGCAGAUCAUCUCCUCCACCUCUUCAGCCAGGAGAUUCUCCGGCCUUUUCAACAAGCCGGAAGAGCCCAGAGAUGAGUCUCCGUCUUCGUGGAGGCUGGGCCUCAGGAAGACCGGCAGCCAAAACGUGCUGGGCGAGGCGGCCAGGUCCAGGGAGGCCCUGCGGGACCGGGGCGCGUCCAUCCACCGCUCGGCCUCCAGCCCCCGCAUCUCCACUGUGCUGGACACCAGAGAAAAGGAGCGAGAAAGCAGAAGCUCUUUCAGCGCACUGGGGCCGCGGAGGCUGAGCACCGCCAGCGACCUGGAGGAGAAGGAGAACAGAGAGUCGGCUGCUCACCUGGUGCGGAGUGGCCCCCCCGCCCGCCAGCUGCGGAGGGACGGAGCGGAGGGGAGUGAAUCUCUGCAGACGGCCGCCCCUUCCACCUACGUGACAACCUACCUGAAAAGGCCUCCUUACAAAUCCCAGGCUGACUCCGCAGCGGAGAGAACAGUAGACGGUGUCUCUUGCGGCACCCCGCUCUGUGUGAUCACGAAUCGCCCCCCACCUAGCACUGCCAAUGGGGUUACAGCUGCCGCUCUGCUCUCCACUCCUGGAACGGACUCCUCUGUGGAAGCCAGGGAGAGGAGGAGGUCGUAUCUGACUCCUGUACGGGACGAGGAAGCAGAGUCGUUACGGAAAGCGCGCUCCAGACAAGCUCGGCAGACUCGCAGGUCUACCCAAGGUGUAACCCUGACGGAUCUCCAGGAAGCAGAAAGGACGUUCAGCCGGUCGAGGUCAGAGCGUCAGGCUCAGGAACAGCCCAGCCCGAAGCCCGUGGGCCCCAGAGGGCUCGACGGCAGCGCCCAGAAGCAUGAGCCCCUGGCAGCCCCUGCAGAGGAAGCUGGGGAGAGCCGCCAGCCCUGGGACCGGAGUCUGGAGGAUCAGCCUGUGUAUCGUCGCCUGAGGAUUCCGGCUCAGCCAGACAAACCCAUGACACCAGUGUCACCUCCUGCCCCGAGACCCUCCCUCUACACCAGUUCCUACCUGCUCCGGACGGGUAGGUCUUCAGCCCCUGAUUCAGAGAGUUCAGAGCCCCCCGCCAGCCCUGCAGGGGCAAAGGAAAUGGACAAAAACGAGGGCGAAGAAGCAGAUUUGGGUGAUCAGUCGUCUAACAGGCUGUCCAUUCGUGAGAGGAGGCGGCCCAAGGAGCGACGGAGAGGCACAGGCAUCAACUUCUGGACGAAGGAUGAAGAUGAAACUGAUGUCUCGGAAGAGGUGAAAGCAGCGUGGCAUGAACGACUUUCUAGGUUGGAAUUGGGAGGCAGUGACGCCAGCAGCGAGCGGGCCUCGGCCAGAGCCCGCCGGGAGGCCCGCGAGGCCCGCCUGGCCACCCUGAGCAGCCGCGCGGGGGAAGACAGCAGCAGGGACUACAGAAAGCUCUACGAGAGCGCCCUGACCGAAAACCAGAAACUGAAGACAAAACUUCAGGAGGCCCAGCUCGAGCUGGCAGACGUGAAGUCCAAGCUUGAGAAGAUGGCCCAGCAGAAACAAGACAAGACCGCCGACCGGUCGUCGGUGCUGGAGAUGGAGAAGCGGGAGAGGCGAGCCUUGGAGCGGAAGAUGUCGGAGAUGGAGGAGGAGAUGAAGGUCCUGACAGAACUGAAAUCCGACAACCAGAGGCUGAAGGACGAGAACGGCGCCCUCAUCAGGGUCAUCAGCAAGCUGUCCAAGUAGGCCAGGCGCUGGCUUCCCGGGACGGCGCUGGCCCCGCCUCUCCCCCCGCCGGCGCCCUCCGGCCAAGAGGAGCCACGAGGACCUUUCUCUGGCCGUCGUCCAGUUGCCGCCUCUGCACCCUCCGUGUCCCCUCCUCUGGCCCCCGCUGCUGGGGUUCAGACAGUUUUCAUCAAAGCGCGACUGCGAUCCCUCAACCGUUAGAGCCGUCUGGUGGAGGCCUGGGGGUCGCCAGGCCAGCCGUGGACCCGGCCUCCGGCUGCCGGGCCUCUGGUCCAUGUAGCACUUGGUCCAGGCCCCAGCCCUGCUGCCACCACCAUGCGCUCUGAUGUGGGACACACAUGGGGAGGCCUCUGGAGCUGCCGCCACUAGAUCCAAGUUGACAGUGACUCCACGUUGGGGCCCCUGCUUGUCCUUGCCUCUCAGGAACUGACUUUUCUCUAACUCCCGCCGGUGGUGGUGGAAUUUUUUCUACCAGCAACCCAGUGGCACCUGACUGGUCUUAACGCCCGUUCCCUCCGUGUCUGGCCCUCUCCCCAGGGCUCAGGUGACCGGGCUUGCCUCUUCCCUUUCUGCCCUUUUACUUUCCUUCCUCCGUCCGCCCCGCGGCGCGUGCCCCGGGAGGUGGGCGCUGGGACAGAGCACCGACCCCAGCGGUGUGCCCGGGCAGUGGUACCGCCGGCCUCUCCCCGGCCAGGCCGGGCUCAGCUCCCCGCCGUCCUCCCCACGCAGCGUUUCUCUGCUAGAACACCCGCCUGCCCCACCUCCCUUUGACCUGGUCUCCUCUCCUGAAGAGAAGUGGCGCCGCUGUGAGGAGGCGUGGGGGCGUCUGAGGCCCCCCCCCUCAUGCCUUGUGCUGUGAGCGUGGUGGGCUUGAUGGCAUCUGGGGCAUGUCCAGGGGAGAGACGAUUGUUUGCCCGGAAGCCAGCAGGAGGAACGAGUCUGGACUCGGAGUGGCGAGACCCGGUGGCCAAGGCUGUGUCCCAGGGACCCCACCCCGCCGUCAGGGAGCCUCUGGCGGCUGCGCCUUGAUCGCUCGAAAGCUGGGCGGCUUGGAUGAGAGUUGAGGUCUUCCUGAGGGUCCCCCUGUUACGUGACAGCCCUGCCGUACCUGUGGCUGGGGACCCCCGAGGUGCUGACGCUCCCCUGGGCCUGGAAGUCGGUCCCCACGUGCCCUGCUUUUCCCACCUGCCGCGUCUUGGCUGUCCUUCUCUGGACGAAAACGUGGACAGGUGGCUCCCUGGGUUCAGCACAGAAUUGGGUCAUGAGUUCUUGAUGAUGCCCCAGUAUUAACACUUAAGUGUUUGCUUUUUGUAGGCGCUUUAUCGCUCGGCUGGUUUGAGUGUGCAGGUCGCUUUGGGGUUGCCGGAGACACUUAGUGUGUAGCGGUCCGUUCUCAACAUACGCUACCUCUGUCUAGUUUCUCUUUCUUUCCAGCCCCUUCCAUGGCCCUCAGAAGCGUCACAUGCUCUUUAACCCAGAGCCAUGAUCAAGGUCCCAGUUCGGGAUAGGAGCUUUGUCUCCUGGGGCAAAACGCCUUUCUCAGAGUGUGCAAAACCUUCCAUGUCCGGCCAUUUCCUGCGAGGAACGACGCCUGGGCGGGGGUGAUUUGUGUCGUCGGGGCCGGGGGGGUUGCGUGGGGGGGAUGUUGAGAGUGAAGUUUCAUAUCUUCCACUGUAGCGUUUCCUUUGUUCUGGGGGAGGGGAGCGGGCACGAGGCCUUGGCCUUGACCCUGGCUCUCCGGCACACCCUGGGUGCUGGGCCAGGACUGGAAAAGGAAACUGAAUUAUUAGGACGUCACCUGGACUCUCUUGCAUCAGGCAGACCAGGCAGAGGGGCCGCAGCACGCCCUCCGCUCCGUCUGUGCCUUUCGGGGGCGCGGGCGGCUCUCGGAACCCGGUCGGGCUGUGUCCCGCGCCUCCCUCCAGCCCUCUGUGUCAGGCCUCUCCACUCAGGAAGCCAGGCUCUGUGGCUAGAGCCCGUGGUGUGGACCAGCCCGUGAUCUCAGGCGCUUUCUCUCUUAUGCAACUAAGUCUGUGAGACAGACUCUGAAUCUGGUCUCUUUCCAGGCUGUGCUGGUCCGCGAGGUGAUGGUCAGGGGCCCCCUCGCUACCUCUGGGGUUGCGCCCUGUCACCGCGGUGCCUGGAUGGGUGGUCAGUGCUGGGGGGAGGGCCUCGUCGGCCUUGGCCAGCUGUUUUCUGGACAGGUUGCACCUCUGGGAGGGACAACCAGCCUCUGAGAGUCUGAGUCUCUGGCUGAAGCCUCACUGCUUCUCCCCCUCGUGCCUGAGGCCCCAGGCUGGGCCUUGGAAGGGUCUGAAGGAAGGACGCGCCCUGGCCUGUCUCCUCGGGCCAAUUGCAGGGCGUCAGCUCCUCUGCUUCCCUGCGCUGAGCAAAUCGUGUGCAUGUUAGCGCCACUCGGGGCAAAAGGCAGCUGGAAUCCCACUUCCAAGCCUGUGGACCCCACCAAGGUGUGUGUGAACUGCCAGCGUGGAGGGGAGCAGCUCGUCUCCGUCUCCAGGUUUCUGGCCCUGGAGCAGGCCUCUCCCACCCAGACGGACACAGACAGAGGGGCUUCCCAGCUUCCAGGCCACCGUGUGCCUCCGAAGGGAAAACCUCGGGGACUCAGCAGCUGGGUCAGUAGGGAGUGGGCCCCUGGUUCCAUCCACUGGGUGAGCGCUGGCAUCCUGGCCUCCAGCACCACCCCUGACUCUGGACGUGGCGGCCAGCGGUCAUAGGUGGUCCUGCCCCUGUCGGGGCCCAGUUACAAGUACAGAGCGUGGUCCCCAUUACUGAGUUUUAAGGCAGGUUUCAGCACCUCGGAGGGUGUGUCUCCUGACCUUGUAGGAAGGCAGCUGUGGCGGCAGAACGAGGCCGCUGAAAGGACUGGGCGUCGGGGCCCGGGGCCAGCGCCUGUCCUGACCCGCCGUGCGGCCGUCUGUGAAAGGGGGCUGGGUCGGUGGUCCUCAGGACCCCUUCUUGGCUUGAGCGUCUGUGAUUUGUUGAUUCCUAGGGAGACCAGAACAUUUCUCACUCAGAGUUUUUGCUCUAACUUCAAAACUUUUCUUCUCAUUCAGAUGGUUUAAGAGUGUGUCAAGGUGCGAAAGUGAAUUCAGUCUGGAGGGUAGUGGCCGUCCCUCCUGAUGGCCUGGUGAGAAUAUGCAAACCCACGGGGGUGGAAACACGGCCUCUGGAUGAGUGGUUCUCACGGGAGGGGCCCGGCUCCUGGCGUCCAGACGGCAGACCCACUGUGUUUCUCCCCACCGGCCACUCAGUCUCAGCUCUGCCUUAAGCACCAGAGGGCCUUCCUCGAGGAAACCCCAGCCUUUAGUUUUGUGGGCUGUCGCAAGCCGAGGUCCCUCCCCUGAGCAGGGCUGCAGGGAGUUCACACUAAAGGCUGCAGGACCGAGCAGCCCCCGGGGAGGAGGGGGAGGGCCAGGGUCUGGGGCCCGCAUCCCUCAGCUUUGCUCGGCCCCCCGGAUGGGUGUGUAGGCUGUGUCAAGGAUGGCCACUGAUCGCUUGUGCUCUGAUUAGAUUGGGCAGUAGAUCAGCUUCACUGCGGCCCCGGGAACCGUCGUUGUCACAGCUGCUUGGGAGUGAGGUGGGCUCGGGAGAAUCUGGACCGGCCGGUGGCCGCGUAGCAGGCGAUGCAGCCCCUCCUGUGAGGGUCGCGGUCGGACGUCAGGUUGAGGAGGGGUCCUGGGAGCCCCUCCUUGGGAAGCACAUCUAGAGACAGACACGGCUGAGGGUUGGCUGGAUGCUGCCUUAGGAGGUUUCGAGCUUUGGGGGUCACUCUUGCUUCUAGCCUGUGUGCACAUGCGUGUUUGCUACAUGGAGAUUUCAAAAUGCAGUCUCAUCACCCAGUUUCAUCCAAGUGUGUUACUCUGUUAACUCAUAUCUUUUGCUUCCCCCCUCCAUUCCCCAGAGGGCUUCUCUCUGAGCUUCUUCUCCAAUUAAUCUGCUUAUCAUUUGGGACUGGGAAUCUGCCAGAGUGACCUUUUCUGUUACUUCUCCAGAUUUUCCCCUAAUGCUCCCAGUAAACUUUUCCUGGGUGGCCCUUUAAGGCGACCUCACGAUGCUCCUGUCUUUGCAAAAUAAACACACCUUUCACCCUCCCGCCUACUCUCAUCUUCCUCCCCAUUAAUUUUUUGCUUUUCUCACUUGGAGCUGGUGGUGCUUUAGAGGAGAGAUUGUCCACGAAUCAGCCCCGACUCUUCCGGUUGCAAAGCUGACUGGCUGUGCCACUUCCCCCUCGAAGACCCCAUUCACACCCAGCGGAGGCCCCGUCACCGAGCUGGAGGUCGCGGAGGUGAGGGAGGGAGGCGUCUUCUCCCCUGCGGCCACCCGGCUGCUGGCCUGCGGCCCCAGUCGGAGGCAAAGGAUCAGGUCUGGAGUGAGGGCUCCUCUGGGUGCCCGCUGGGCCCUGGCAGUCAGCGGAGACUGGGCAUCGCCUGGAGGCGGUGAGGCCCGGCCCUUCCCUCCUGAAGACUCCCCAGCCCUCGUGCUCAAUCACAGCCUCUGCCAGGCCAGCCUUACAGGCUCUGCCUUCUCGUCCCUGGAGCUUGGCCCUGAGCCGGACGCCCCGCUCUACCUGCGGCAGAGGGGCUGCGGGGGCCUCCCUGAGGAGACGGCCUCCAGAUCGCAGUGAGGAUGGGUCACCCUUCCAGGUCUGGGGGCGGUGCUGCCCUACCGUCUCUUUCCAGAAAAUCCUGAAGCCCCGUCCUCAGCCUCAGGAGUCACAGAUGUCUGAAGAAGUCGGCUGCGGUGAGCUAACCGAGGGCUUGUAGGAACCGUCCGUCCUCUGACCCUACCCCAGGGCCAGACGGUGGCCGCGCCCCGAGCCCGGCUCUGCUGGCAGUGGGGAGCCGGGGGUCUAGCCUCGCCCCAGCAGCUGCCCUGAGGGCCCACGCGCCCACCGCCCAGCCGGACCUGGCCUGGCCUUCUGGUUCCUCCAGCCCCUGAGGGAAGAGCCGUGUCCCCAGCCUCACCCCCCGCGCUGACCCUGGGGGCGGCUCCUGCUCCCCAGCCCAGCAGGAACCACCAGAGACCGCCCCCAGCGUGCUUUCAGCUCAUUCCUUUAAUAAGGAGAUGCCGCUUAUUACAAAAGAACAUGUUGACAAGAGAUGAGACAAGAACAGAGUCCACAGGGCGGGGGGGUGGGUGCUGGACAUGGGUCCUUCCUGGGAUGGGGAAGGCAGGGGUCCUGGUGGGGCUGCGCGUGCCAGGGGGCCUGGGGCCUGCCCGCCAUGCUCUUGCAGUCUUCAGACCCCAGGAUUUCAGAAGCAGCAGAUCCCGCCCUCGGAGAGGAAGCGCCAGGGCAGAACGUCUGGCUUCUCGGAAGGGGUCCUGGGGUCCCGAUGGCUGAGGGGGGCCCUACGCAUCCCCGGCUCCCGCCACCCCCCCAGCACAAGGGGCCUGGCUCGUAGCGCACAGGGCCCACCUGUCCACCUGCGGCCUCGUCGGCGCUCCUGUCAGACCCCCUGCAUUUCCCCCUCCUCCCAUCAGGGCUGGCCGGAGGGGUCGCUCCCGUGCAUGGCGUUCCUCUGCACCGGGGCCUGCGGCUACUGUCCCUCCUGGUUCAGCGAGAUGGCUCGGGACCUGGGGCCCCCCGGCCCCCUUCCACCUCCCGCCCUCCCAUGGGACACCUGGCCGGGGCUGGGCCGGGGCGCUGGCGAGGGUCCCUCGUAGCCAGAGCCGCCCAGCCGCAGGAGAGAGCAUGCGGGGGAGCUUGGCCUACUGUGCUCUCCAGCCCCCGGGGUCCCUCCCCACUGCCACCCUUGGCCCCCCAAGCCCCCAGUGUCACGUGAGCAGGGCUGGUUGUCCACCCGGGCGGCAUCGGGGACCUGACCACAGACCUGGCCACCAACAGCUCCUGAGAACCCUCGUCGCCUGCACGGGGUACCCCAUGGCCCAUCCACCCCCCCACGUGGAGUCGGACCGCAACACCAGGUGAGGGAGCCGGGCCAGCGGGGGCAUCUGCUGGGGCCCCACUGGGAGACCUGGACACCAUCCGUCCUCGCAACAUGGGGCUGGGAGCAGAGAUGACGAUGGGUGAGCCCUUCACGAGUGUCCUGAGGGGAGCCCUGGGAGGAUGGCCCCGCAGGGGCCCCUGUAUGGCUUUUCAGUGAAUUCAGAGAGUGGGAGGAGGGGGCACACCACACACACACACACACAGGACACAGGGCUGGACGCAGGGCGCCGAGGGUCAGCUCUGCCCACGGUCCCCUGGUCAGACCAGGGCCAGAGGCCAACUCCCCCCGCCCCCCGCGCAUGGCAGGGCAGGGGGGCCGGGAGGGCGAGGGGAAGGACUUUACACACAGAGUCGAAGGAGCAGUUCAAGUUGUGUAAAACGGGGCUGGGGGCACUCAGCAUUGCCAUGCGGUUAUUUACACAGAGUUGAGACAUGCAUCUUGGUGGGACGAGACUGGGGUCGUGUUCACAGGUGACCACCCUCUCCGUGAGGCUCAAAUGGCUUCAGAAGGUUCUUGUUGUCGCUUAAAAAAUAUAUUCUUGUGUCUUCAAGUCACAGUGUCCCCCUUCCCAGUAUUGCAGCUCAAAGAAUGGGUAGAAUCCUGGUGACCUGUCCCUGCCCCGAGGCUCGGGGUGAGAGCGAGGCAGAAGUGGUCGCAGGACUGGCCUGCCAGACAGAGCGUGGACGGCGGGGCAGCCUGAGUUUCGGACUUUGGGAGUGAAAACGCACAGCCUGGAGGCCUCCAGAACCCCUCGUAGCCAACCUUAGUUCUGGCCCACUCAGGGCAGGAUGCCGACACGCCAGAAACGAGCCUGGUGGCAGUGAAGGUGCUCUGUGGACUGGCCCGGGCCCUAGGACCAGCCCACAGUCUUCGUCAGGUCCCAGCUUCUCGGCAUCAAGUGAAGAAUGACUUCCUGAGGACCAAGGGCCACGGGCAAGCCUGAGCCCCACUGCCCAGCUGCUGCUCCUGGAGGAGACGGCUUCUCACCACCUGCCCGGCCGGGAAACGCAGCCGGGCAGGAACACAUGCCUGCUCCUUUCUGACAGUGAAAGAGACGUCCCUCUGCCUCAGGUGCCUGCAGACGCCAGGGGGGCUCGACGGGGUGGGAGGUGCUGCCACGGGUGCUGGGAAAGAGGCGCAGCUCCGGGUCUGGGAAGCCUUGAGUGUUCUGGGCCGAGGAGAGGGCCGGGGCCUGCAGCUGCAGAGACGAGGGCGGCUGAGGGGGGCCGGAUGCUCUCGCCCAGGCUGCAGGUUUGGAAGGAGACUCGGUGCACACUGGACUAACGUAUAUAUGGCUUUUUAUCGAUGCUGGGGACACGAGGUGAGCGGGGAACGAGCACAGUGACCGCGGGGCAGAACCCGGCCCAUGUCCUCCGCCACCGCUCGGAAUGGCCGCCCUGCUCCUCGGGAUUCACAGCAAGUCCCUCGGGAGUGCUGGGCGGGGCCUCCCCGCAGGACCCCUGGGAAAACUCAGCUAGCUGUCCACUACCCUCCCCUCCUUACCUGGGCCUCAGGGGAGCUAAGAACCUGUAAACCUUCCUUUUCAAGCCCUCUGGCCCUGAACGGAUACCGUGUCUUCAGACAGCGCAGCUCCACUUUGAUUAAGGGAGAAGCACAGGCGGGAGGGGAAGAGAUGCCAGUGACUGCUGGCUUCCGUCCUAGAAAGGGAGCCGACAUCUGGGUCUCCCACCGCAAGGGCAAAGGCCCGGCAGUUUCAUUUGGGCCUUUCUGGGAAGCGGGUCUUCUGUUUCUUUGCGGUUUGACAUCACCCGUCAGCAAGGUGAGGUCGCGGGAUGGACAGUCCCCGUUCAAGUCCAGCCAGUCUAGCCUAUAGCUCAGGUCUGUGGUGUCCCGGGAAGCCCCCGGCAGCAGGAGGAGGUCCACGCCGGCACCGGGCUUUGGUCCUGGCUCUGCACAGUCCAGUCUCCCCGUCUCGCCUCCCAAACAAACAGCCACUCCCACACAGCGUGGGAGUUCCCCAGUCUGAGCAGGGUUCUAAGCCCUCUGCUCCCACAAGGCACCCUGUCCGCGGCCCUCCACGAGCACAGGGGAUGCGCACACACGCACGGAUCCCUGGCCGCUGGCUGCCUUCCGUCAGGAGUCAGGAGGUGCUGCCAUUGCGUUGGUCCGGAACGCUCAGAAAACAGAAAAUGCCACCACUUUCUGCCGAGAGAGCCUCCCUCGGGCGCGUCCACCUCCUCCUCGGGCUUCAGUGAGUGCCACUGGGCGAUGGGCCGGCGGGGGUUGGCCAGCAUGUCGGACCAGUGCCGCAGCUCCGUGCCCGUGGCGCUGCUGCCCACGAAGAUCUUGCCGAUGGCUUCGUUCUUGCCCAGCUUGUCGUAAUCCAGCACGGUGACCACCACCUGGACUUUCUGCAGGGGGCAGAGGGGGGGCAGUGGGCAGGAGAAGCGCCCGGCGGCUGGCCCUUCCCUCCCCAGCUCUAACUGGGCGGGCAGGCACACAGAGGUGGGGCCCGUGCCUCUGACGCAUUCUUCGCUUCUACCAACGACUGAACACAGGCCCCCGGCAGCGUGCUGAGCGCCUGGGAGCAGAAGGGCAGACGCAUCCUCGCAAGGUGACAAAGGUCACACCCGAGAGGCCAGCAGGAGGCACCUCGGGACCUCAGAGGGAGUGAUGUCCGGCUGGUGAGUUAGGGCAGGCUUCACGGAGGAAGUGACCUGGACUGGGGGGUGGAGGGGCAGCAGGGGCAGGUGGGCGUCCACCGCCUCAGCGGCUGCAGCCUCUCCACACACACGCCCUGCCACCACCUCGCGGCCAAAAGGAGGUGUCUGUGAGCAGCUCCCGCUCACCUCCCCAGAAAAGGGGCGGGCUGGGAAGUGCCGGGCAUGGCCGGCCGGCCAUCUGUAGCAUCUGGGGGAGGCCACCCGCCCCACGUCCACCCCUGCCAGCCCAGCACCUGGAUCUGCUCGAAGGGGAUCUCGAAGCUGAAGGACUCGUUGAAGUACGGGUUCAGGGUCUUCUUCUUCACUGUCGUCUUCUUCUUCUUGAGCCUCUUGCCGUUCUGCAUCAGGUGGAUCUUCACGUAGGGGUCUGUGCGGAGGCAGCCGGCGAGGCCCUGAGCACGCGCCCGGCCCGCCAGCCCAGGGAUGGCAGAGCCAGCUUCCGGGCCAGGGCAGCCAGAGGCUUCACCUCUGGGACCCGCCAGGGCUGUGGCCGCCUGGAGCUCGGGGCUCUGCUGGGACGGGCCGGCGCUCAGUGAGGAGCCAGGGGGCCACUGGGUGGUGUCCGUCCUGGGCAGGGGGCACGUCAGCGACCCACCCCAUCCCAUUCUCCCGACCUUGUCAAUGAGCAACGAGGCCCAGAGAAGGGCACCCGUCUGCCCGAGGUCACACGGGGGCUCAGGGACAGAGCUGGGCUGGCGGGAACCUGAGCAGUUCAGGAGGCCGGGCAGUCGCACCCCCCAGCCCCGCCCAGAGCCCCUUCCAAGGCAGGGCCACCCCCAUCUCCCCCGCCCCCGGUAGAAGGGCCCGCGUCAGGCCGAGCCCUCCCACCGCCUGCCCUCCCUGUCCCUGCCUCACCUGGGGGUGACGUCCCUGACCCCUUCCCUCCAGAGCCCACAGGGAGAGCAGCAGAAAGGCAGCUCUCAGCGGGGCUCCCCGCCCCGUCCUGCCCUGAGGACCCAAAGCCGCUCAGACAGCCUGUGUGUCCCGCGCAUCUGAGGCCUGCUAUCCAGGUCGAGGGCUCUGGGCCGCGACCGGCUGGCAGGUGCCCCCGAUGGCGGCCAGAAGCCACGCACACACCUGAAAGGCCACCCACGUCCAUCUUCUUGAGGUUCUUGGCCUCCAGGAUGCAGACGGUCCCUCCACUCCUCGAUGGGCUGCCCCAGGUCCACGGUGUUCAUGGGCACCUUCACCUCCCCGAUGAUGUCGUGUUUGGAGAAGCGGUCAAAGUCGUAGAUGGCCAUCACCAGGGUCUUGCCCCCCAGCUCCUGGUAGGGCACCUGCAGGGCACAGGCAGGAUGGAGGGGUCAGGGCAGCUCGGGGCCUCUGGGGGCCCUGCAGGACACCUGCCAAGUCUGCAGACACCCAGGCUCGGGUCCAGGCCGAGCUGGUUCUGGGCCUCAGCCACAGCCCAGGACCAGGGGAAGGUCCGCAGCGGGCCAGCCUGUCACCUUGAA